CGACAACAUGGCAUGGUAGUAACACAACAACAUGUUAGCAGCACAAAACAUGGUACAAACAUUAUUGGGUACAGACUACAGCACAAGGGGCUGAAGGUAGAGGCAACAAUACAUCGCGCAAAUCAACCACAACUUUCAGCUGAGAAUCCGUCUCUGAAAACAGAGUUCAGGGAGGCCCUCAACUCUGGUGGGUUAUAACAACCCUGUUAAAGGCCUGGGCAUCAGGGUUCGACGGAGGGCGAAUCAGGUGCCAUCCCGGGCUUCAUGCUGGGUGUGUUCCAGAUCGCUCUAAAUGAUUGUGAGGAGCUCUACAGGAGCUGGGUUCUGACGCCUUCAAGCAGAACGUCAUCGUUGGCACCAUCAAGAUGGGCUGGAGCCAUUUCUUCUGCGACUCGCAGACCUUGGAGCAAAUCCUCAAAGAGAAAAUGGGCUCUGAUGGUGGAUUCAUCAAGAAACUCCAAAUGCCCAAAGUUAAGCUUUGUCACAUGGCAUGACUCAUUACACUCUCUGGAGUGUGGCGCUGAUGAUCACACACACACACACCCUCUCAUGGAUGGCAAGGUGGACAGUGAGGAAGGAAGGCCCUCACAAUCUCUUAAAGGUCCUAGUAGUCAUGUUUAAUUCAAUAUCAAAUCAUUUCUGGGUAACAAUUGAGUACCUAACUGUGAUUUGUUUUCAAUUAUGGUCAAAAAUAAACAAAAAUAGAUAUUUAGUGAAGGGCAAUUUCUCAAGCAAGAAUUUUGCUAGGACUGCUUGGGAGUGGUCUGAGCAGAGAGGGGGAAACUGAAAAUGUGCUUUUAUUGGCAGAGAGAUUUGGAACUCCCUUUCUUAGUGUUUUUACACGUAGUCCCUUUCAGCAAAAUGUUUGUGAACUCAGUGCAGUUUGCAGAAUUUGAACACUCAAACCCCUCAAAAGAGCCCCCGAAACUAACUGAACUUAGAGCCAUCUCGAGAGGGGGUCUGAGUUUGGGUUCCCUUUAAUAGGACAAUGUGGACAUAAAGCUCACCAGGUUCCCUUGUCAUUAUUCCCGCUCCACACCUAGAUUACUGCAAACGUUGUUUCCCUGGCAUAAGCCCUCACAUUGGUGCCAAAGGAGAGAGAAGAUGAUGAUGUGCAGGUUCAAGCAAAACACGUGUGCCGUUUUUGGAUGUUGAUUAACGAUUGUCAAGGAUGCUUAGAAAUUCCAGAAUAUGUGUGGUUUUUAGUUCAAAUGAUUUGUUUUCAAUAUGUGAUCUGUAGGCUAAGAGAGCUUCUCCAGUUGUUUAGUCGAUUGUGUGGUUUGAAUAGUGUGAAAAGACAAAGGCCCCAUGCAGUUUUUGAAUUUUCUUUUUCAAUCAUCACUGUAUGUAUCAAUAUAUUUGAUGUUUAUUUAAUGAAAAUAACUUCAACCUGUAUUUUUAAUAAUGUAUCACCCUGAACUUCCUUUGGCCUUUGAAAUGCUCAGUCUGAUCGUGUGAGCAAUAGGAAACAAAUGUGAAAAUAUUUACAUGCACAACUCUAAAUGGCUGAUGGUCUAUUAUAAUCAGAUCACAUUGUGACAUCAUGAUGUGGUUCACCUGAACAGGUCUUCCACAAAAAGGGCAUUGUCAUAAUUGUACAAUUUCAGACCGUUAUUCCACCUCAUAGUGUGGAAAUAUCAUAAUGAAAACAGAAAAAUCACGUAUUUAACUGCAUUGCCCCUUUUAAUAAUGAGGUCACUCAGAAAGCUUCUGGCCGGAGGCUGGCUGGCUGGCACUCGAGCAUCAGUACAUUACCCAUCCACCAACACUGUCAAAUCAAAUGUUAUUUGUCACAUACACAUGGUUAGCAGAUGUUAAUGCGA